rnacentral:misc_RNA from 1 species
GAUGAAGAACGUAGCGAAAUGCGAUAAGUAAUGUGAAUUGCAGAAUUCAGUGAAUCAUCGAAUCUUUGAACGCACAUUGCGCCCUUUGGCAUUCCGAAGGGCACACCUGUCCGAGCGCCGUCGCACAACUGAGGCGCAGCCUUGCGUUGGCGGGCGACUUGUGAGUAGCGAGUCGCCGCCCAAACGAGACGGCGCCGCGCCGCGGCCGACGAAGCACGAAAGCGGAAGUCGACGCGGAGGCGGUUGCCUGUAGGAAGACACAGCUUGGCCUCGGAUCAGGUGGGGAUACCCGCUGAACUUAAGCAUAUAAUAAGCGGAGGA